AAUCAACGCUGGCGGCGUGCCUAACACAUGCAAGUCGAACGAGAAAGGGGACUUCGGUCCCUGAGUAAAGUGGCGCACGGGUGAGUAACACGUGACUAACCUGCCCUCGAGUGGGGAAUAACUUCGGGAAACCGAGGCUAAUACCGCAUAAUACCUACGGGUCAAAGGAGCAAUUCGCUUGAGGAGGGGGUCGCGGCCGAUUAGUUAGUUGGCGGGGUAAUGGCCCACCAAGACAGUGAUCGGUAUCCGGCCUGAGAGGGCGCACGGACACACUGGAACUGAGACACGGUCCAGACUCCUACGGGAGGCAGCAGUGGGGAAUUUUGCGCAAUGGGGGAAACCCUGACGCAGCAACGCCGCGUGGAGGAUGAAGUCUCUUGGGACGUAAACUCCUUUCGACCGGGACGAUUAUGACGGUACCGGGAGAAGAAGCCCCGGCUAACUUCGUG
rnacentral:rRNA from 1 species